ACCGCCAAUUGCUUUCUCUAUAUCUCUUCCCUCCCCCCCUCCCCGCCUUGUCUCCUUCCCUCCCUGUUCCUGCCCAUGUCUUCCUCCAUUUGCAGAAAUCUCCGAAGGGUCAGAUGCGUGUUGUGGAGCGCCUGAAGAAGAAAUUGUGUGAACAGGAAUCCUGGCUCCUCCUGCACUCGCCCACCAUUCCCUUCCGAAUACACAACAAGAAUGGAAAGAGUUUCUUGUUCCUGCUGUCCUCCGAUUACGAGCGCAGUGAGUGGCGAGAGGCAAUUGAGAGACUCCA